rnacentral:rRNA from 1 species
GACGAACGCUGGCGGCGUGCCUAAUACAUGCAAGUAGAACGCAGUUUCGAACGGGUGAGUAACGCGUACGUAACUGCCUGGUAGCGGGGGAUAACCAUUGGAAACGCUAGCUCAUACCGCAUACUACCACAUGGACAUGCGUUGUAUUAGCUAGUUGGUGGGGUAACGUCUCACCAAGGCAACGAUACAGAGCCGAACUGAGAGGGGGAUGAGCCACACUGGAACUGAGACAAGGCCCAGACUCCUACGGGAGGCAGCAGUAGGGAAUCUGCGGAAAUGGACGGAAGUCUGACCAGUCAACGCCGCGUGAGUGAAGAAGGUUUUCGGAUCGUAAAGCUCUGUUGUAAGAGAAGCGGUAUCUUACCAGAAAGGGACGGCUAACUACGUGCCAGCAGCCGCGGUAAUAC